AAUGUUAAGAUUUAUCUUUGUAUUUGGCAUGCUACAGUUUGACUAACAUGUUCCUACUUACGCAUAAAUUAUCAUUCUCCUUUCCCUCCCUGUCUCCUAUCUUCUCCUCUUCCUGGGACUCGUACAUACUAGAACUAGAAUAUCUUGUUUCUUUUUAUUUUUAUAGAAUAUCUUAUUUCUUUUUAUUUUUAGUAGUCCUGGGAUGGACUUAUAAAUGUUAGGCAAGCACUCUACCACUGAGCUAUAGCCUUAGCUGUGGAUAUAUUUUUAAAAUUUAAAGUAUUUUUAAAAUUAUUAUUUUUGAAUUUUAUUUGUAGACCAGGCUAGCCUUGAACUCAGGGAAUCUGCCUGUCUCUGCCCCACUCCCCACCCCCAAGUACUAGGAAUAAAGGUGUGUGCUACCAUCCAGGGUUAAGCCUUGAACAUUUUAAUUUUAAAACAGAAAUUCUACUACUUCUACUACUGAGUGAGCCCUCCAGAUCUGUUUUGGUUGUAAGGUUCUGCUUCAAUUCCUGCCUCCAGGUUCUUGCCUUGAGUUCUUGCCCUGACUACUUUUAGUGUAGUGAGAUCUGGGAAAUGUAAGAUGACAUAAACCUGUCAUGAUGGGUUGUCUUUUGUCUGUUUGCCGGCCUGCCUAUCUAUCUGUUUUGUUUUGUUUUUAAAGAUGUAUUUAUUUAUUUAUAUGGGUACACUGUAGCUGUCAUCAGACACACCAGAAGAGGGCAUCAGAUCUCAUUACAAAUGGUUGUGAGCCACCAUGUGGUUGCUGGGAAUUGAACUCAGGACCUCUGGAAGAGCAGUCAGCACUCUUAACCACUGAGCCAUCUCUCCAGCCCCUAUCUGUUUAUUUUUAAGUCAGGGUUUCUCUGUGUAGCCUUUGCUAUGCUGGAACUUACUCUGUAGACCAGGCUGGUCUUGAACUCACAAAAAUCUACCUGCCUCUGCCUCCCAAAGGCUGAGAUUAAAUGUGUGUGCCACUGCUCGGUUGGUUGGUCUUGAGUUUUUUUUUAUUUGUUUGUUUGUUUUUAAAUAAUUUAUUUUAUUUAAUAUACAUUGGUGGCUUUGCCUGCAUUCAUGUCUGUGUGAAGGUGUCAGAUCCCCUGGAUCUGGAAUUACAGACAGUUGUAAGCUGCCACGUGAGUGAUGGGAAUUGAACCCUGGUCCUCUGGAAGAGCAGCUACUACCGAGCUAUCUCUCCAGCCCUUUGAUCCUGAUGUUUUAUCAAAGCAAUAGAAACCUAAGGCAGGCACUAACUUUAAUAGUCUUGUCCAGAGACAAAAACAACCAGUCAUCUUAGGUUCCCUUAUGGCACUAGCUCAUGGCCCUCAAUACAGAGUACUCGCCCCUUCCCCUCUCUGCACCCCAGCAUGUCUCUCUGUCCUGUGUUCAGAGAACUCUUUAUUUUCCUAUCAGUUCCCUUCAAUAUGCUGGUUGCUUCUUAUUGUUGUGUUAUUACUUUUUUUUUCCAGGACGAGUUUUCUCUGUGUAGCCCUGGCUAUUCUAAAACUCACUCUGUAGAUUAGUCAGACCUUGAACUCAGAGAUCUGCCUGCCGCUGCCUCCCGAAUGCUUGAAUUAAAGGAGUAUACCACCACUUUCUAGCUUGUUGCUAGAUGUGUGUGUGUGUACAUGUAUGGAUGUGCAUGUGCCACAAUGUAUGUGUGUUGUGACAGUCAGAGAGGACAACUUUUAGGAGUUGUGGGUCCCAGGGAUGGAACUCAGGUUGUCAAGGUUGGUAGCAAGUGCCUUAACACCAUGGGUCAUCUCUCUGGUCCCUUGGUUUAUGUUUUUGUAAUGUUUAAUUGUUGGGGGCGGGGGGUUGUUUGAGACAUAUUUUCUUGUAAGCCCAGCAAUAUGUUAAAAAUAUGCUCAUUAUAAUUUACCUGGAAUC
rnacentral:lncRNA from 1 species